AAAAAUCCUUUGAGUGCCUCAGAUGCAUUUUUGGACUGCCUGCCUAUACCAUGGACUUUUACAGGUUUCUCCAGCUGGAUUUGCUCCUCUUCCUCCUUAACGUUGCCCACAUCCUGGUACGGGCCAUGUGCCUGGGACCGCUCGAUCUGAUCAUAUGUGGACCAACACUCGUCCAGAUUCAGCCCCUGUUGGUUCAGUCUCUUUGACUGUGAGGGGAAAGCAGAAGUUAUUUGAGUUGUGAAAUGACACAACUUCCCACGGAAGAAAUGCAAAAAAAGGAGAAACUUAUAGCUGCAUGUGAACAAUCAGAGCAGCACUGUCUCACAGAAAGCAAUAAUUUCUGUUGGGUCAACAUGAACGAGAGCUACAUUUUGGAACUUAACCACUGCUUCAGCAUCAAUGCAGCGAGUCAGGGGUAGCUAUCUGACAAGUCAAUGCAUGGUAAUGUACACACGGUUAUAACACAGUGACCUCCUGACCUU